rnacentral:tRNA from 1 species
GCCGCGAUAGCUCAGUGGUUAGCGCACAGGACUCCGGCCCUUGUGGUCCCGGGUUCAAUUCCCCGUCGCGGCG